UAAGAGGUCGCAGGACAACUGAGAAUCUUU
rnacentral:piRNA from 1 species